rnacentral:rRNA from 1 species
CAGCCGCCGCGGGAAUACGAAGGGUGCAAGCGUUACUCGGAAUUACUGGGCGUAAAGCGUGCGUAGGUGGUGAGUUAAGUCUGCUGUGAAAUCCCCGGGCUCAACCUGGGAAUGGCAGUGGAUACUGGCUCGCUAGAGUGUGUCAGAGGAUGGUGGAAUUCCCGGUGUAGCGGUGAAAUGCGUAGAGAUCGGGAGGAACAUCUGUGGCGAAGGCGACUAUCUGGGCCAACACUGACACUGAGGCACGAAAGCGUGGGGAGCAAACAGGAUUAGAGACCCCCGUAGUCCCUGUCUCUUAUAC